UUAACCUACCCUUGACAUGUCUGGAAUCCCGAAGAGAUUUGGGAGUGCUCGCAAGAGAACCGGAACACAGGUGCUGCAUGGCUGUCGUCAGCUCGUGUCGUGAGAUGUUGGGUUAAGUCCCGCAACGAGCGCAACCCUUGUCAUUAGUUGCUACGAAAGGGCACUCUAAUGAGACUGCCGGUGACAAACCGGAGGAAGGUGGGGAUGACGUCAAGUCCUCAUGGCCCUUAUGGGUAGGGCUUCACACGUCAUACAAUGGUCGGGACAGAGGGUUGCCAAGCCGCGAGGUGGAGCCAAUCCCAGAAACCCGAUCGUAGUCCGGAUUGCAGUCUGCAACUCGACUGCAUGAAGUCGGAAUCGCUAGUAAUCGCGGAUCAGAAUGUCGCGGUGAAUACGUUCCCGGGUCUUGUACACACCGCCCGUCACACCAUGGGAGUGGGUUUCACCAGAAGUAGGUAGCCUAACCGUAAGGAGGGCGCUUACCACGGUGGGAUUCAUGACUGGGGUGAAGUCGUAACAAGGUAAGCGUAGUGCU
rnacentral:rRNA from 1 species